CGGCACACUGUGCACUGCUGCGGGUGAGCCGGCAGCUGUACAUGAGUCACAGCGGCAGCUGUCCAUCAGCCGGUUGGCUAAGAACCUGUCAAGCAGAUAUGCCCUUUCGUCGGCAGACAGAGCAUGGACAGACGUUCUAAGCAUGAAUCAGGGAGAUACGAAGGCAGAAAAAUAGGCGAUGUCAAGUUGCCGGUGAUGAGUAGAUGAAAGAGUGAUAUUAAAAGGACACCAUGAACUUGGCACAGCGCCCUACUUCGAGAAGCCUACCAGCGGACCUGUGUACGGGCCUCUGCAAGGACAAAACAAAUUACACAAGAGGAAGCCUUUGGGCAAGGUUGCUUGUUACUUGCAGCAAGCAACAAUGGCGUAGGUGGCAACACGCUUGCAGCUUGAUAUUGAGAUAAAGUGUUUAAAGGAA